rnacentral:rRNA from 1 species
UACGAAGGGGGCUAGCGUUGCUCGGAAUCACUGGGCGUAAAGCGCACGUAGGCGGACUCUUAAGUCGGGGGUGAAAUCCUGGAGCUCAACUCCAGAACUGCCUUCGAUACUGAGAGUCUUCGAGUUCGGGAGAGGUGAGUGGAACUGCGAGUGUAGAGGUGAAAUUCGUAGAUAUUCGCAAGAACACCAGUGGCGAAGGCGGCUCACUGGCCCGGAACUGACGCUGAGGUGCGAAAGCGUGGGGAGCAAACAGG